rnacentral:rRNA from 1 species
GAUGAACGCUGGCGGCGUGCCUAAUACAUGCAAGUCGAGCGAACAGAUGAGGAGCUUGCUCCUCUGACGUUAGCGGCGGACGGGUGAGUAACACGUGGAUAACCUACCUAUAUGACUGGGAUAACUUCGGGAAACCGGAGCUGCUACCGGAUAAUAUAUUGAACCGCAUGGUGCAAUAGUGAAAGACGGCUUUGCUGUCACUUAUAGAUGGAUCCGCGCCGCAUUAGCUAGUUGGUAAGGUAACGGCUUACCAAGGCAACGAUGCGUAGCCGACCUGAGAGGGUGAUCGGCCACACUGGAACUGAGACACGGUCCAGACUCCUACGGGAGGCAGCAGUAGGGAAUCUUGCGCAAUGGGCGAAAGCCUGACGGAGCAACGCCGCGUGAGUGAUGAAGGUCUUCGGAUCGUAAAACUCUGUUAUUAGGGAAGAAAAAAUGUGUAAGUAACUAUGCACGUCUUGACGGUACCUAAUGAGAAAGCCACGGCUAACUACGUG